rnacentral:misc_RNA from 1 species
UAAGUCAGGGAAUGGCCAUC